CCGGCGCUGGGCUGGGUCACGGCCAGUUGCGUACCCAGCGGCAGCGGGAAAUUGCUGUUGGCUUGCACGUUGGUUUGGCGCCCGCCCGCCAGG
rnacentral:tRNA from 1 species